rnacentral:rRNA from 1 species
UACGGAGGGUGCGAGCGUUGUCCGGAAUCACUGGGCGUAAAGGGUGCGUAGGCGGCGCGGGAAGUCAUCGGUGAAAGUUCAGGGCUCAACUCUGAAUCGGCCGGUGAUACUCUCGUGCUUGAGCACUGUAGAGGCAGGUGGAAUUCCGGGUGUAGCGGUGGAAUGCGUAGAGAUCCGGAAGAACACCGGUGGCGAAGGCGGCCUG